GGGGGUGUAAUGGUUUCGACGGGGGUGCAGAAUCAAGAGAAGCGAGCCGUAGUUUGCCAAGUCUACGUUAAAAAUGGCACGUUAAAUACAAACGCUAAAAAUAACACAAACUUCGCACUAGCCGCUUAGUUCGGCCCCGCGCGUCAGCUCCGAUUCACCUGUAGGUUGGUAGAUCUGGCGUCAAAUAUACAGGAAAACUCUAUGUGAGCUCCUAGUAGCAUAGGGGAACAAUAGGAUAGCCGAUACCGAAGCCUGCUGACGGGCGCCGGAGGAAGCGAAACAACAAAUCAUCAGCUCCGCUCGGAGAAACUCUUGUGGAAGUGCUUUCGGACGCGAGUUCGACUCUCGCCACCUUCACCA
rnacentral:tmRNA from 1 species